GCAAGUCGAACGAUGGUCUGUAUGACAUAGUGGCAGACGGGUGAGUAACACGUAAGUAAUCUACCCUUGAACGGAGGACAACUCGGCGAAAGUCGAGCUAAUACUCCAUACGAUCUCUUUGAGGCAUCUUAGAGAGAUGAAAGGUUUCGGCCGAUCAAGGAGGAACUUGCGAUUUAUCAGCUAGUUGGUAGGGUAACUGCCUACCAAGGCUAUGACGAAUAGCCGGUCUAAAAGGAUGACC
rnacentral:rRNA from 1 species